rnacentral:misc_RNA from 1 species
GAGGUAAUCUAGUAGAUUGGAAAAGCAAGAAGCAAACAGUUGUAUCUAUAUCUAGUGCUGAUGCCAAAUACCGUGCCAUGGAUCAAACCACAGGUGAACUAAUAUGAUUGAAGAUACUGCUAGAAGAUUGGUAUUAUAUAUAUUAAAUCACUAGCUAAAAUUAGGGGAUUGCAUCAUGCAUUCUAGGCUAGGAUUAUUAAUUAUGCAUACUAUUAAGGAUUAAAUCAUGCACAUAAUUAUAGGAUUAAUU